AGUCUUGGUUAUGACAGCAAUUGAACUGUAAUCUAUUUAGGUUUGAGCCAAAAUUGUCUGGUUCGGUCAGCAUGAAGUGUUAUGAAGUGCCAGUUUGCCAACCUGAUCACUGGUUUUUGACAGCAGACCGUCUACUUCCUUGAUACCUAAACAACUCCUACAGUGAAGAGGCAUUUCCUGAACAAUGGAGGUAGUGCAUAUAAAAAUGUAUCAUGUUUCACAAUGUUUGAAACUGUUUAUAUGGUGGUAUGUGUAAAUUAUUUUUAGGUCACCACCCAUCUGUAAACUUUAGGAUAUUUUCUUAAGAACUGGGGAAUGAAUCUUUUUAAACUUGGUAAGCUUCAUCCUUGGUGUCCACUUGUCCUGAAGUCGAACAGCUCAGUGGAUUUUGACUACAUUUGGCCUGGAGUUAGAGUAUCCUUGGUCAAAGGGGACCCAAUUUUGUAUAAACAGAGGUUGUGACCCUCCUGGGAGCAGAGGAGCGGGGUCCAAUAGGGGGGAAAUAUUGAUAAGUGUUUAAAUUAUUCUCUUUCAAUAUGCUGAGAGACAGAGCCUAUAGUUGCAGUACAUGAUGUAUUUAAUCAGAAUAUGUUCCUGUGAUGUUUAAAUAUCCAGUUGAGGGAUUCAGGCCCUCUAGGCCUCUUGUUUGUCUCUUUAUUUAUUUUUACAUCUAAUGGUAACUAGUGAUGGGCCAAUACUUGAUAAUAUAACUCAAAAUUGAUCAGCUUGCCUUUUCAAUUAUUGAUUACGGGUACAAAUUCCACAAUUUGAUCUGUCCAUUACUGAACUCAAGUGUCAAAUGUAGAUUGUAAGUCUGAGCUAUUUAUGUUGUUAAAGGCUUAACAAAAAAAAAUCAGGUUGGCUUCCUCUUACAUGUUAAAAGUGCUUCCUUGAAAUUUUACCAAAAUAAUAGGUAGGCAU